rnacentral:rRNA from 1 species
UACGUAGGGUGCAAGCGUUGUCCGGAAUUAUUGGGCGUAAAGAGCUCGUAGGCGGUCUGUCGCGUCGGCUGUGAAAUCCCGAGGCUCAACCUCGGGUCUGCAGUCGAUACGGGCAAACUAGAGUAUUGCAGGGGAGACUGGAAUUCCUGGUGUAGCGGUGAAAUGCGCAGAUAUCAGGAGGAACACCGGUGGCGAAGGCGGGUCUCUGGGCAAUAACUGACGCUGGGGAGCGAAAGCGUGGGGAGCGAACAGG